rnacentral:misc_RNA from 1 species
AUCUCUGGCCCACCAAGUGAAGGAUGAUGCUUAGGUCUGUGAACGUCUUCCCCAGAUUCAGAACGAAGCGAUAAUCGAUUAUGAACGUCAUUCACUGACCUGUAACUUGUACGUGUCCAGUGAGACAUCCAAACAGAUUGGCAGGGCUGCAUACACUUAUCCGGAACUUCGUCCUUACCAUUAUCUGAUUUCACAACCUGAUCAGACAUAUUAGGAAGAAAUGCUGAAUUACGCUUCAAAAGUAUUGUACUACUAUCCCUCAAGCGCUCAUCAAAAGUCACAAAGUUUACAGAGAAACGCAGCGAAGCGACGGCGAGACAGGCUCAGAAUUCGCCGAUCAAGAGAGAAAAAGAAAAAGGAGGAGGAGGAAAGAAAGAGGGGGAAUUUUGUCUUCUUUUGGAAGUAGGGAAUUUUGAAUUUUGGGGGAAUUUGUGGACAGGGAGGUGUGCAGAGAAGAGCAGUGGUGAAGGAGAAGAAGAGAGCAGACGAGCACAAUACCACAGCCGAGCGCUCUCUCUCUCUCUCUCUCUCUCCUUCCAAGUUUGCUUUUUCCUUUUUUUUA